UACGUAGGUGGCGAGCGUUGUCCGGAUUUACUGGGCGUAAAGGGAGCGUAGGCGGACUUUUAAGUGAGAUGUGAAAUACCCGGGCUCAACUUGGGUGCUGCAUUUCAAACUGGAAGUCUAGGGUGCAGGAGAGGAGAAUGGAAUUCCUAGUGUAGCGGUGAAAUGCGUAGAGAUUAGGAAGAACACCAGUGGCGAAGGCGAUUCUCUGGACUGUAACUGACGCUGAGGCUCGAAAGCGUGGGGAGCAAACAGGAUUAGAUACCCCUGUAGU
rnacentral:rRNA from 1 species